rnacentral:rRNA from 1 species
AAAAACUCCGGUGGUAUGAGAUGGGCCCGCGUCUGAUUAGCUAGUUGGCGGGGUAACGGCCCACCAAGGCAACGAUCAGUAGCCGACCUGAGAGGGCGACCGGCCACAUUGGGACUGAGACACGGCCCAAACUCCUACGGGAGGCAGCAGUGGGGAAUAUUGCACAAUGGGGGAAACCCUGAUGCAGCGACGCCGCGUGAGCGAUGAAGUAUUUCGGUAUGUAAAGCUCUAUCAGCAGGGAAGAAGAUGACGGUACCUGACUAAGAAGCCCCGGCUAACUACGUGCCAGCAGCCGCGGUAAUACGUAGGGGGCAAGCGUUAUCCGGGUUUACUGGGUGUAAAGGGAGCGUAGACGGCGGUGCAAGCCAGAUGUGAAAGCCCGGGGCUCAACCCCGGGACUGCAUUUGGAACUGUAUGGCUGGAGUGUCGGAGAGGCAGGCGGAAUUCCUAGUGUAGCGGUGAAAUGCGUAGAUAUUAGGAGGAACACCAGUGGCGAAGGCGGCCUGCUGGACGAUGACUGACGUUGAGGCUCGAAAGCGUGGGGAGCAAACAGGAUUAGAUACCCUGGUAGUCCACGCCGUAAACGAUGACUACUAGGUGUCGGGCAGCAAAGCUGUUCG